AUUGAACGCUGGCGGCAUGCCUUACACAUGCAAGUCGAACGGUAACAGGUCUUCGGAUGCUGACGAGUGGCGAACGGGUGAGUAACACAUCGGAACGAGCCCGCGAGUGGGGGAUAACGAGGCGAAAGCUUUGCUAAUACCGCAUACGAUCUCGGGAUGAAAGCAGGGGACCGCAAGGCCUUGUGCUCACGGACCGGCCGGUGGGAGAUUAGGUAGUUGGUGGGAUAAAAGCUUACCAAGCCGACGAUCUGUAGCUGGUCUGAGAGGACGACCAGCCACACUGGGACUGAGACACGGCCCAGACUCCUACGGGAGGCAGCAGUGGGGAAUUUUGGACAAUGGGCGCAAGCCUGAUCCAGCCAUGCCGCGUGCAGGAUGAAGGCCUUCGGGUUGUAAACUGCUUUUGUACGGAACGAAAAGACUCCUUCUAAUAAAGGGGGUCCAAGACGGUACCGUAAGAAUAAGCACCGGCUAACUACGCGCCAGCAGCAGCCGUAAAAC
rnacentral:rRNA from 1 species